rnacentral:rRNA from 1 species
CAGCAGCCGCGGGAAUACGUAAGGUGCAAGCGUUGUUCGGAAUUAUUGGGCGUAAAGGGCAUGCAGGCGGUUAGAUAAGUCUGAAGUUAAAGGCUGUGGCUUAACCAUAGUACGCUCUGGAGACUGUUUAACUUGAGCGCAGAAGGGGAGAGUGGAAUUCCAUGGGUAGCGGUGAAAUGCGUAGAUAUAUGGAGGAACACCGGUGGCGAAAGCGGCUCUCUGGUCUGUAACUGACGCUGAGGCUCGAAAGCGUGGGGAGCAAACAGGAUUAGAUACCCCCGUAGUCCCUGUCUCUUAUACA